rnacentral:rRNA from 1 species
AUUGAACGCUGGCGGCAGGCCUAACACAUGCAAGUCGAGCGGCAGCGCGGGUACUUGUACCUGGUGGCGAGCGGCGGACGGGUGAGUAAUGCCUAGGAAUCUGCCUGGUAGUGGGGGAUAACGCUCGGAAACGGACGCUAAUACCGCAUACGUCCUACGGGAGAAAGCAGGGGACCUUCGGGCCUUGCGCUAUCAGAUGA